rnacentral:rRNA from 1 species
GUGGGGAAUCUUGCGCAAUGGGCGAAAGCCUGACGCAGCCAUGCCGCGUGAAUGAUGAAGGUCUUAGGAUUGUAAAAUUCUUUCACCGGGGACGAUAAUGACGGUACCCGGAGAAGAAGCCCCGGCUAACUUCGUGCCAGCAGCCGCGGUAAUACGAAGGGGGCUAGCGUUACUCGGAAUUACUGGGCGUAAAGGGCGCGUAGGCGGACAGUUUAGUCAGAGGUGAAAGCCCAGGGCUCAACCUUGGAAUUGCCUUUGAUACUGGCUGUCUUGAGUACGGGAGAGGUGAGUGGAACUCCGAGUGUAGAGGUGAAAUUCGUAGAUAUUCGGAAGAACACCAGUGGCGAAGGCGACUCACUGGCCCGUUACUGACGCUGAGGCGCGAAAGCGUGGGGAGCAAACAGGAUUAGAAACCCCGGUAGUCC